rnacentral:rRNA from 1 species
UACGUAGGCAGCAAGCGUUGUUCGGAGUUACUGGGCGUAAAGGGCGCGCAGGCGGCUCUGAAAGUCAGAUGUGAAAGCCCCGGGCUUAACCUGGGAAUUGCAUUUGAUACUCUGGAGCUUGAGUACGGGAGAGGAGAGUGGAAUUCCCAGUGUAGAGGUGAAAUUCGUAGAUAUUGGGAAGAACACCGGUGGCGAAGGCGGCUCUCUGGACCGUAACUGACGCUGAGGCGCGAAAGCGUGGGGAGCAAACAGG